UCUGUUGGGGCCAUGCCAGUUCCUCAGCGGCCACAGCUUCUGUCUGCUAAGACCUUAAAAAGGAGACACGGAUUGGGCCUCCUCUAGACUCUGAGCCCUGGGAGGGGGGUUGGCGGCCUCCAUCUCUGGAGGUCCUCACAUCCGCCUGGAAGUGGGCACCACCACCCCCUUUACAGAAACUGAAAGGCCAGGGUCAAAUGCUUGGUGGAGUCAGAGCCGAGAUUUAAACACACGUCUCCUGACGAUUUUAACUGUGGUCCUUGCUGGCAGCUGAACAGCACGGUGAUGUGGUAGGCAUGCCGUUCUCAGGAAACUUCAUCGCGAAAUUCUAGUUUAAAAUGUCAUUUACUUACUGAAACUCUCCAGCUUGAUUUUUAAACGGAUCAUGCUCCUUUAAGUUCAGGGCAGUUAGCAGCCGUGACGUGGAGCCAUCCGGCGUGUGAAUUGGGCUUUUGAGCUCUGCUUUCUACCUGGGCAUGUUGGCUAUCAGGCAGGAUUUUGAGUCGCACAUUGUGCCCAGAAGACCCAGAGGGCCUUAAAUCACUUGAGGCUGUGGCAUGUACGGUUGCUGGUGCCAACAUAAACAGCCUGUGUGUUUUCCCAGCAUGGAGACACGAAGCUGGCCCUGACGGCCUGAGAGCCAUCCCGAAUGAAAGGCAGUAAGAGUGACACGGACUCGCCAGCCUAUUUCGUUGUCAUUUUUACGAACGAUCCUCUUCUAUUUUUCACCUGCAACGUAUCGGUGUCAUCAGAGCCCAG
rnacentral:lncRNA from 1 species